GGCCCCGCCCCCGGCUCCGCCCCCAGGUCAGCUGAGAAGCUGGGACGACCCCGGCUCCCGUGGCGGGGCGGGCUAGCGCAGAGCCCCGGUGGGUGGGUGGGCAGAAUCUGGUCCUGGUGGUACCUCGGCAGUCUGGGCAAUUUUCAGCGCUUAUUCCUGCUGCUCCGGUGUCUGAGCCAAAGGCGAGAACAGUGCUGCGCAAUUGGGACACACAGAUCCCUGGGCACGAAGUGGCGCUCAAAGCCUCAGGGAGCUCAAGGACCGACAGUAGGGUGAUGAGACGCAGCGAGAGAGGCUUCCAACCGCUUCAGACAACCGAAACACGGAGACACUCACCGCCUCAGCUCCCCCAAAUUUCCCGGGACCUUCAUCCACACUUCAGAGGCCUCUCGGGCGGCAGUAACGCUCACCUCCUGCAGCUCCACAGGUAACCUACUUCAUUUGCAGAAGAAGUGGCAACUCUAUAUGGACCUCUGGACUACAAGUGGGAGGCACACGGCUGUGUUGAGGCUUGUAGAAGUGGGUUCUGAUGUAAGACACUCCAAGACACAGGAAACUGUGUAUAGGUCAUACAAGAACAUUGGUUUCCAUAUCAAGGGGUCUGCAAAAAGAUGAUCACCUGGCCAAGGUGGCAAAGUCUCCUAUGAAUUGUGUUGUAGGCCUGUGGACAUUUACUGAAUGUCUUUAGACCCAUACCAGGCAAACAACAGUCCACACCAUGAACUGCUAGAGAACUUUUUCGUUUUCCUAUAAUAUCCCCCCCAUUACCUUCUACUGAGAAAGCUUAACAUUAUGCUCAUAAGAAAUGCUUAAAGGAAUUCAGAUGUUUCUCACAAAGGAUACAGGCAUACCUCAGAGAUAUUGUCGAUUUGAUUCCAGACCACCACAAUAAUGUUAGUAUUGCAAUAAAGUGAAUCAGAUUAA